UGGCUCAGAUGGGUAAAGUGUCUGCCUGCAAUGCAGGAGACCCAGGUUCGAUCCCUGG
rfam:TPA: Bos taurus chromosome 17, whole genome shotgun sequence.